AACAGCCCACUUAUAUUUGAUUUAGAUUACAUAUCAAAACGCUGACGUUACUGUGUGAAAGUUCUGUGAAAGUCUAAAUCAGUAUAAAUACCCCAGGAUAAAUCUCAGACAGUGAAGUGCACAGAACUGGUUCCCAGCUACAGCACAAGAUGAAAAACCUUUUUGUGAUUCUGCUCGGUGUUGGGGUUUUCCUGACUGUUUGCGAUGCAGCUUGUUUUCAUCAAAAACCUCUAUUUCGCCGAACACCCUUAAAUGGAUGUUUAGAUCAAGAUAAGGAGGUUCAUGCUUUGUCUAGUGAAUGGGUGACAAAGGAUUGUAUGAGAUGCAAUUGUCAUUCUGAUGGAUCCAUGGGCUGUUGUAAUAUGCUUGAUCUGCCGAAUGCCAUUAAGGGGGAUGAGUGUGAAGUUUUAAAUGACAGAGACACCUGCACCUCCAAAAUCGUUUACAAGAAUGAUCAUACCAAAGAAUGCAUGUAAAGCCCACUCAGUUUCAUUAUCAUUCCCUUUCUAGAAAGAAAAAGUUGUAGAAGAAAAAUCUAUGGAAAUGUCUACACCAAACUAUAUCUUUCAAUAAAAAGCUAAUAAAACUAAUUAUUGCGAUAA